rnacentral:rRNA from 1 species
UACAGAGGUCUCAAGCGUUGUUCGGAUUCAUUGGGCGUAAAGGGUGCGUAGGUGGCGCGCUAAGUCAGAUGUGAAAUUUCGGAGCUUAACUCCGAAACUGCAUUUGAUACUGGCGUGCUUGAGGACUGGAGAGGAGACUGGAAUUCACGGUGUAGCAGUGAAAUGCGUAGAGAUCGUGAGGAAGACCAGUGGCGAAGGCGGGUCUCUGGACAGUUCCUGACACUGAGGCACGAAGGCCAGGGGAGCAAACGGG